rnacentral:rRNA from 1 species
CUACACACUCCUACGGGAGGCAGCAGUGGGGAAUAUUGCACAAUGGGCGCAAGCCUGAUGCAGCCAUGCCGCGUGUAUGAAGAAGGCCUUCGGGUUGUAAAGUACUUUCAGCGGGGAGGAAGGGAGUAAAGUUAAUACCUUUACUCAUUGACGUUACCCGCAGAAGAAGCACCGGCUAACUCCGUGCCAGCAGCCGCGGUAA